UAUGGAUUUCUCAUUACUGAUAUUUACUAGGAUAUUAUAUAUUAUCUUAAUAAACAUAAUCAAUACAAAACUACAAGACAGAAAAAAGGAAGCUUUCUAUAUGUCAGAUCGAGUCAGAGAUUCAAACCCAUGGAAUUAUAUUGACCAAUCUCUGAAUUUAUCGAUGAUAUUGUUAUUGAUAAAUUCAGUGAUGGUGUCUUUAAAAGGACUACCUUUUUUUUUUAUUAUUUUAUAAAUUAUCAAAAAUCCAUUUCAAAUAUUUUAGUUUGUUUAAUUUAGUAAUUUUUUAACAGUUAUCUUUAAUUCUGAAAUAAAUACAUCAUAAGUCAAAUCACUGAAUUUUCUUCUAACCAUUAAAAGAAUAAAUAAAUUUCACAUAUAUUUAAUUAAUCUGCCAUCUUGAAGUAAAAUAUAACCAAUUAAAU
rnacentral:lncRNA from 1 species